rnacentral:rRNA from 1 species
UUCUUAAAGAUUGAAUUUUAAGUAAUUUCUGCUCAAUGAAUUGUUAAAUAGCUGCGGAUAGCACUAAGGUAGCAUAAUAAAUUGUUCAUUAAUUGUGGACUGGAAUGAAAGAAAUAAUGGAUAGAAUCUUUCUUUGACUUAUUAAGUUUAAAUUAAAAUUUUAGUAAAAAUGCUAGAAUAAUUUUUAGGGACGAGAAGACCCUAUAAAGUUUUAUACGUUGGAUUUAAAAUGAGAAUGUAUUUUAUUGGGGCAAUACUCUAAAAAUUAAUUUAGAGAAUUUUUUGUAUUAUUUUAUAUAUUGAGGAGCCAUAAAUUAUGAUUGUUUGAUUAAAUUACUUUAGGGAUAACAGCAUAAUUUAAAUUGGAAAGUUCAAAUUGAAAAUUUAGUUUGUGACCUCGAUGUUGAAUUAAUAUAUCUAUUUGGCGCAGGAGCUAAAAAGUUAGUCAGUCUGUUCGACUGUUAAAAUAUUACG